GACGAACGCUGGCGGCGUGCCUAAUACAUGCAAGUUGAGCGAUGAAGAUUGGUGCUUGCACCAAUUUGAAGAGCAGCGAACGGGUGAGUAACGCGUGGGGAAUCUGCCUUUGAGCGGGGGACAACAUUUGGAAACGAAUGCUAAUACCGCAUAAUAACUUUAAACAUAAGUUUUAAGUUUGAAAGAUGCAAUUGCACCACUCAAAGAUGAUCCCGCGUUGUAUUAGCUAGUUGGUGAGGUAAAGGCUCACCAAGGCGAUGAUACAUAGCCGACCUGAGAGGGGGAUCGGCCAAAUUGGGACUGAGACACGGCCCAAACUCCUACGGGAGGCAGCAGUAGGGAAUCUUCGGCAAUGGACGAAAGUCUGACCGAGCAACGCCGCGUGAGUGAAGAAGGUUUUCGGAUCGUAAAACUCUGUUGGUAGAGAAGAACGUUGGUGAGAGUGGAAAGCUCAUCAAGUGACGGUAACUACCCAGAAAGGGACGGCUAACUACGUG
rnacentral:rRNA from 1 species